GUCCCAAUAGCGUAAUGGAUAGUGCGUUGGACUAAUAAUGCAAAGUUCAUGGGUUUGAAUCCCACUUGGGAUG